rnacentral:lncRNA from 1 species
AUGUUUCUACAAUUUUUAAUACUUAAAAAAAAGUGUAAGCUGUCCCGCCCAGGCCCUCCUGCAACCAUAGUAACCAUUGAUGAAGAGAGUCCCAAUGGUACCGUCUUGGUGGAAAACAUGCAGAUAAACGGCCGUGCGCAGGAUCCAGGUCGAACCAUUUCGCUGACUCUGCUGGACAACUACGACUAUUGGGUGAUUUUGGAACCGGCCCAGCAGCGGCUGUAUCUCAACAGCACAGGACGCGUUCUGGACAGAGACCCCCCAAACUACAUCAUGACCAUAGUGGUGCAAGUCCAGUGCACCAACGAGCUGGUUGGUACUGUUAUUUUCCACGAGGUGCGGAUCGUCGUGAGGGACAGGAACGACAACAUCCCCCGCUUUCAGCAGCCGCGUUACUAUGUUGCCGUCAAUGAGCUCACGCCAGUCGGAACAACGAUUUUCACUGGAUUCUCAGGGAAUAAUGGCGCCACCGAUAUCGACGAUGGACCUAAUGGACACAUAGAAUACAGCGUCCUUUACAACCCCAAUGACCCGGAGUCCAACAAGACAGUAAGCGUUGGAAACACGCUUUCAGGGCACAUUAUCCUGGCAGAGAGGCUAAACUACGAGGAGAGGACACGUUACCUGGUUGUUGUCCAAGCUAAUGACCGAGCACCUUACCCACCCAACAGGCGAACGGCUACAACCACCCUGACCGUGGACGUUCUGGAUGGAGACGACCUGGGCCCCAUGUUCCUGCCGUGUGUGUUAGUGAACAACACGCGUGACUGCAACCCGCUCUCCUACCGCGCUGCUAUCCCUGAAUUCACUGAACCGAGCAAAUUGAACCCACUGAACGUGACCCCCCCGAUUCGUGCCGUGGACAUGGACAGGAACAUCCAGCCUCCAUCCAACAGACCCGGAAUUCUGUACUACAUCCUGGUUGCCACAUUUGCAGAGUAUUUCUCCCUGAACAAAACCACAGCGGAGCUGCGCGUUCUGCAACCAAUCAACAGAGACUUAUAUCAGAGGUUCACCCUCAUCAUCAAGGCUGAGCAGGACAACGGACACCCCCUCCCGGCCUACGCCGACCUCAUCAUCGAGAUCCUGGAUGAGAACAACCAGGCGCCGUACUUCCAGCUCGCCACCUAUCAGGGAUACGUGAGUGAGUCUUCGCCGGUGGGUACAACCAUCUCAGGCAGCUCAAACCUGACGACGCCCCUGGAAAUCAUCGCACUGGACAAUGACAUCGAGGAGACAAAAGACCCGUUGGUGAAGAUUUCCCUCGACAACUACGCCACGAUAUUUGGUGUGACUCCGACUGGCAUAGUGCGCUACCUGAGACUGGUUACACCUGUGGACCGGGAGAAGCAGAUGGCUUACACGUUCACGAUGGUGGCAUCGGAUGGUGUCCAGCAGAGCACCCCAGUGACUGUCAACAUCCUGGUCAUCGACGCCAAUGACAACACGCCCACAUUCGCCAAGGCCUCCUACAAUGUUGAAGUCUUCACCGACAUGCAGCCGGGGGAAACCGUUCUCCAGUUAACUGCAGCGGAUGCUGAUGAAGGAUUGAACGGCCUGGUGACGUAUGAGAUAUUGGCCGGGGCCCAGGGACACUUCAUCAUUAAUAAUCGCACAGGUCGCCUCACCGUGGCGCCAGGCGUGGCUUUAACUGUGGGACAGUCUUAUGCACUGACUGUCAAGGCCUCAGACGGGGCUCCAGAAACACAGCGAAGGAUCGGGCUGUUACUUCUGGGGAAGCCUCUGGACAGAGAGAGCACAGAUCAGUACCGCCUGAUCGUCACAGCCUCCGAUGGGAACCCUGGAGGGACUUCCACCACCACGGUCGACAUUGUCGUCACAGAUGUCAACGACAACGAUCCCAAAUUUGACUUCGCCAUACCUGUUAACUUCACCGUCCGAGAAGAAGAGGCCGACCUUUUUGUGGGCCUUGUGAGGGCUACAGAUCCAGAUGCGGGGGCUAACGGCCAGGUGGGCUACCGGAUCAUAAAUCACCCCGACUUGUUUGUGAUCAGUGCCAAUGGCAGCAUCUACACGAAGGUGCCUCUGGACCGGGAGCUCCGGAGCCAGUAUGAUCUUGUUGUGGAGGCGUCGGACGGGGCUGUGGAUCCACGGCGGACCACCUUGACCCUCUCCAUCCAGGUCACAGAUAUUGAUGACAGCAGUCCGGUUUUCUCCCAGCAAAAUUACGUGGUGAAUGUUCCAGAAAACACGCCUGUGGGGACCGUCGUAUUGAAGCUAAGCGCAACAGACUCGGACCUCUUCUCCAAUGUCACCUACCGGAUCAGGACUGAGGCAGCCCGACAGCUGUUUUCUCUGAACCCUAUUACAGGGGAGCUGGCUGUGCUGCAGACGCUGGAUUUUGAGGACCUGGCAGCUUUGGGCAUUGGGACCUCUUAUGCUUUCCAGGUAGAGGCUAUAGACCAAGGAGGGAUCAUGCCCCCGGGGCAGGCAACUGUCACAGUCCGCAUCACGGUAGGAGACAUGAAUGACUUCUCACCCGUGUUUAGCCAAGACCUGUACAAAGGCAUGGUGGCACCCAAUGCAGAGAAAGGAACGGUGAUAACAACGGUGUUAGCGGAGGAUCGGGACCCUCCGGAUACCCCAGCCAGCUUUGUCCGCUACCGAGUUGACCUGGACAGGUCUCCCUACAGCGGCAGCAUCUUUGACGUGGAGGAGGAAACGGGAAGAAUCGUCACUAAGGUCAACCUCAACGAAGAACCCAGCGUCACCUUUAAGUUGUUUAUCAUCGCCUUUGACGACGGCGAACCGGUGAAGACCAACAGCACUCUGGUGGAGAUCACUGUCCUCCAGCCCUCUCGGAUCCCCAUCUUCACCCAGGAGGAGUACAGGUUUCCUCCAGUAAGCGAGCUGGCUCCAUUCGGCACCCCGGUGGGGACGGUUCUGGCUGCUGCUGUCAAUCAAAGCAUCUUCUACUCCAUCGUAGGAGGCAAUGAUUUAGGUCAUUUUCAGAUCAACAACAAGACAGGCGUCAUCUCCACAGCCAAACCUCUGGACUACGAAAAUGUGACAAGCUACGUCCUGCGGGUGCAGGCGGACUCCAUGGAGGUCGUCAUGUCCAACCUGCGCGUUCCCUCUAAAACUAACACAGCCAAGGUGUUCAUCGAAGUGCAGGAUGAGAAUGACCACCCACCCGUCUUCUCCAGGAAGCUCUACAUCGGCGGCGUGACAGAGGACACCAAGAUCUUCAGCUCCGUGCUCAAGAUAGCCACUGACAAGGACACCGGGAAUUACAGCGAGAUGGCGUACCGCCUGAUUAUUCCGCCCACCCAAGAGGGCCAGGACAGCUUCGUCAUCGAGACCUACACAGGCAUCAUCAAGUCGGCCAUCAUGUUUCGGAACAUGCGCAGGUCCUACUUCAAGUUUCAAGUCAUUGCCACCGACGACUACGGAGCAGGGCUCAGCAGCAGUGCUGAAGUGGUGGUUUCUGUGGUCAACGCCUUGGACAUGCAAGUUGUUGUGUCCACCGUGCCGCCCACUUUAGUGGAGGAGAAGAAGGACGAGCUCAUUAGUAUUUUGGAGCGCCACGUCCAGGACCAGAUUCCGGGUGCCAAGGUGAUAGUAGAGUCCAUCGGCCCCCGUCGUCAUGGCGAUGGCUUUGAGCUAGAGGACUACACUAAAUCCGACCUGAUGGUCUACGCCAUUGACCCCCUCACAAACAGGGCCAUCUCUCCCAAGGAGCUCUUCAAAUUCCUCGAUGGCAACGUCCUGGAAAUCAAUAAGGAGUUCCAGCCGUAUCUGGGGGAAGGCGGCCGCAUCCUGGAGAUCCGCUCCCCCGACAUCGUGGCCAGCGUGAAGAAGGCCGCCCAGGCCGUGGGCUACACGGAGGGGGCGCUCCUGGCCCUGGCCAUCAUCAUCAUCCUCUGCUGCAUCCCCGCCAUCCUCAUCGUCAUGGUCACCUACAAACAGCGACAGGCAGAGUGUGCCAAAACUGCCCGGAUUCAGAUGGCUUUACCACCAGGAGGGAAAGCACCUGCAGCCGCUGCCCCCACCGCAAACCUGUAUGAGGAGCUGGGCGACGGUAACCCACCAGAGGAUCCUCCGCCUCCCCCUCCAGAACGGCCACCUCCCUCCUCCCCAAAAACAUCCCCUCCUUAUAGUCUGCCAUCUACCCCUCCUUUACCCUCCCAUCUCCACAAACCCGAGUGCCCCCUUCAGCCGCCUCCUGGAUCCAGCAGCCAGGGGUCCCCCCCAACACCACCACCGCUCCCCCCACCACUCUCCCCAGCGAGCAAUCAGCUGUGCCAGCUUCUCCAGUUUGUUCCAGCAUCUCUGCCGCCGGUGUCCUCACUGCGUCCCGUCUCGCAGCGAAAACACCCCCCUCCUCCUGAGUCAUCUCAAACUGACUGUGGGAGGAAAAAGGAGCUCAAAGGGAUCCUGAAAAACAUCCAGAAUCUCGCUGACAUAGAGAGGUCCAUUGCCAACAUGUACAGCCAAGUAGACAAAAACUACAAGGUGCCCAAGCUUCAUCCUAAACCACAAGUGACUGAAGAAUCCGAAGACACCGAAAGUACUCAAAGCUCGGAUCCCUGGGAUGAGCAGAGCACCACCAAAACAACCAAAUCCACUUCCGCAGAUGACUCAACAAUUACGAACUGCGCUGAAAGCGAACCACGUCCCCUGAACGCGCCAUCAGAGAGCCAAUCGAAACCAAGCCCAGACUCUGCUGACCUGAGUGACUCCCAGUCCACCGUGUUCUGA